rnacentral:rRNA from 1 species
AAUCCCGCAUAACACCUUUAUACACAAGGUUAAGCAUGAAAGAUGCAGUACAUAGCCGGUCUGAGAGGGUGAUCGGCCACAUUGGGACUGAGACACGGUCCAAACUCCUACGGGAGGCAGCAGUAGGGAAUCUUCGGCAAUGGACGAAAGUCUGACCGAGCCACGCCGCGUGAGUGAAGAAGGUUUUCGGAUCGUAAAACUCUGUUGGUAGAGAAGAACGUCGGUGAGAUUGGAAAGCUCAUCAAGGGCCGGUAACUCCCCAGAAACGGCCGGUUAAUUUCGUCCCACCAGCCCCGUUAAUCCGUGGGUCCCGAGCGUUGUCCGGAUUUAUUGGGCGUAAAGCGAGCGCAGGUGGUUUAUUAAGUCUGGUGUAAAAGGCAGUGGCUCAACCAUUGUAUGCAUUGGAAACUGGUAGACUUGAGUGCAGGAGAGGAGAGUGGAAUUCCAUGUGUAGCGGUGAAAUGCGUAGAUAUAUGGAGGAACACCGGUGGCGAAAGCGGCUCUCUGGCCUGUAACUGACACUGAGGCUCGAAAGCGUGGGGAGCCAACAGGAUUAGAUACCCUGGUAGUCCACGCCGUAAACGAUGAGUGCUAGAUGUAGGGAGCUAUAAGUUCUCUGUAUCGCAUCUAAUGCAAUAAGCACUCCGCCUGGGGAGUACGACCGCAAGGCUGAAACU